AGACAGCAGCAGCCACGGGAAUACAGAGGGUGCGAGCGUUAAUCGGAUUUACUGGGCGUAAAGCGUGCGUAGGCGGCUUUUUAAGUCGGAUGUGAAAUCCCUGAGCUUAACUUAGGAAUUGCAUUCGAUACUGGGAAGCUAGAGUAUGGGAGAGGAUGGUAGAAUUCCAGGUGUAGCGGUGAAAUGCGUAGAGAUCUGGAGGAAUACCGAUGGCGAAGGCAGCCAUCUGGCCUAAUACUGACGCUGAGGUACGAAAGCAUGGGGAGCAAACAGGAUUAGAUACCCCCGUAGUCCCUGUCUCUUAUAU
rnacentral:rRNA from 1 species